GAUGAACGCUAGCGGCAGGCUUAAUACAUGCAAGUCGAGGGGUAACAGGUCCUGGAUGCUGACAACCGGCAAACGGGUAGAGUAACACGUAUGCAAUCUACCUUUAACUGGGGCACAAACUUCGGGAAACUGGAGCUAAUUCCCAUAAUAUUGAAGAAUCUCAUGAUUUUACAAUUAAAAUUCCGAUGUUAGAGAUGAGCGU
rnacentral:rRNA from 1 species